AGCGAACGCUGGCGGCAGGCCUAACACAUGCAAGUCGAACGGAACCUUCGGGAUUAGUGGCGGACGGGGGAGGCACGCGUGGGAAGGUGCCGUUUGGUUCGGGACACCUCAGGGAAACUUGAGCUAAUACCGGAUGUGCUCUUCUGGGGCAAGAUAUAUCGCCAUUGGAGCGGCCCGCGUCCUAUUAGCCAGUUGGUGAGGUAACGGCCCAUCAAGGCGAAGAUCAGUAGCUGGUCUGAGAGGAUGAGCAGCGACACUGGGGGUGGGACACGGCGGAGAAUCUUACGGGAGGCAGGAGAGGGGAAUCUAGCGCUAUGGGCGAAAUGCAGACGCACCUAUGCCGGGUGAAUGAUGAUGGUCUGAGGAUUGUAAAAUUCUUUCAGCGGGGACGAUAAUGACGGUACCCGAAGAAGAAGCACCGGCUAACUUCGUG
rnacentral:rRNA from 1 species